rnacentral:rRNA from 1 species
CGUGGGUAACCUGCCCAUCAGAGGGGGAUAACAUUCGGAAACGGAUGCUAAAACCGCAUAGGUCCUUUAACCGCAUGGUUGAAGGAGGAAAAGAGGCGCAAGCUUCUGCUGAUGGAUGGACCCGCGGUGCAUUAGCUAGUUGGUGAGGUAACGGCUCACCAAGGCCGUGAUGCAUAGCCGACCUGAGAGGGUGAUCGGCCACAUUGGGACUGAGACACGGCCCAA